UACGUAGGGUGCAAGCGUUGUCCGGAAUUAUUGGGCGUAAAGAGCUCGUAGGCGGUCUGUCGCGUCUGCUGUGAAAACUCGGGGCUUAACCCCGGCCUGCAGUGGGUACGGGCAGACUAGAGUGCGGUAGGGGAGACUGGAAUUCCUGGUGUAGCGGUGAAAUGCGCAGAUAUCAGGAGGAACACCGGUGGCGAAGGCGGGUCUCUGGGCCGUAACUGACGCUGAGGAGCGAAAGCAUGGGGAGCAAACCGG
rnacentral:rRNA from 1 species